AUCGACUAAAAUAUUUAGACAAU
rnacentral:snRNA from 1 species